UUUUUCUAUAACCAGUGGAAAUGACCUCAGAACGCAGUGGAGUCAUCCACAGCUCAGCAACAUGAGAAGGACCAUAAAGCCAGGGCUCAGCAAACUAUGGCCCGUGGGCCAAGUCCAGUCUUCUGCCGGUUUCUGUACAGCCUGUUUUGAUGGAAAGUGCCCGCAGGUAUUUUGUCCUCCAGUCCCACCGAGGGAGCCAUCGGACAUAGGGCAGUGGGGGCGGGGGUGGAGGAUUCGUCUGAAAACCAGUAGAGUGCAGUUCUCAUGCAACACUUGUGCCCGUGGUCUUGUGUGUCACACCAGAGCUGGCAGACGCUGUUGAGCCCACUGUAACAUGGCCACAUGUCCAUGGUCCUAUCCGGCUGGUC